GGUGCAAUCUCGGCUCACCGCAACCUCUGCCUCCUGGGUUCAAGAGAUUCUCCUGCCUCAGCCUCCCGAGUAGCUAGGAUUACAGAAACAUGGAUGCAGCUGGAGGCCAUUAUUCUAAGUGAAUUAACACAAGAACAGAAGACCAAAUCCCGCAUGUUCUCACUUAUAAGUGGGAGUUAAAUGAACGGUACUCGUGGACAUGAAGAUGUCAACAAUAGACACUGGGGACUACUACUAAUGAGCUCCAUGUGAGACAGGAAAAGGUAGAGGCAUGUUAUCAGUCACACAACAUUUCAAGGACACAUUGGACAGGAGUUUGAAUGGCCUGAAUAACUGACGUACAGUGUGCAAAGGGAAGCCAGGAGGAAUUCUGAAAGCAAAGCUUAAAGACACAUAUGUUUAUAAGUGGUUUAGUUGUUGAUUUACAUGAAGGCAAAUGUAGACAUUUAGUACUGCCAUCUAGAAUCUCUUCAAUUUUAUUUUAUAAGUUCGUGAAGAAUGAGAGCAUGAUGAGAACUGAUAGAAAAAGUCAUGCCUUGGUCCAUGAUUUUGUAUCAAUCAAGGCAAGAUAGGAGAAAAGCCUUCUGAGUCUUAUGAUUCGUUUAUAUCCAAAUGGCUUUGUAUGCUGGUUUAAUAUAAGUGAAGGUGAAUUGGAGCAAAAAAGAAAAAAUAUAUAUCAAUAUGCGAAGUGUCUCAGGAAGUCCAUGUGGAGGAUUGAGCCACAAGAAAGUUGUCAUGGAGUCUGGAAUGGAGGGGAAUUUAAUUUUCCAUCAGGCACCCAGAGAGGGAAAUGAACGUGAAUUACUGUAAGAUUAGACGGUCCCUGAUCUGAAGGAAUUCAUGUACUUCUAAGUGGGCAACUUUUACUAAGAAUUUUUUUCUAAGCUGACAAGAAACACGGUAAAAUUCAGGUUCUCAUUUUUAAAAAACUGGCUUAUGCAGACAUUCUGGAGAAAGCUAGCGUUAUCUUCUUACACAAGGGAUGUGCUGCCCCCUUCUGGAUAAAGGAAAAGGUAAAUUCCACUGAGAAAUUUACAUUCCUCCACUUCAGAUACACAUAAGAAUGAAAAGCGCCCUCAUCUUAUUCAGUAUUAUAAAUAUGUAUGUGUGUACACAUAGACCCAUAUAUAUUCACUAUAUAUGUAAUAUUUUAUAUUGGGAGUAUUAAGUGAUCAAAACCAAGUAGUGAUCAAGUUAAAAGACUAGAACACACGAAUGGACUGCUAACUGGCCCUUAGAGUAUAGGCUCUAUGCUGUAUCCCAGCACCUAGAACAGUGUCUGCAGUAUAGUAGACUCAAAUCACAUCUCUAAGAACCCACAUCCCAUUUUAGAAUUCUUUAGUGGCUUCACUUUAUGGUUGAGCUGAGCUCCAAUUCUUUGGCAUGGCAUUAAAAUUUUUCAAAAUCAGAUCCUAACCUGUUUUUUAAGCCAUAAGGUCUGGUCAUUUACAUCAUCCAGGCUUUACUUUCGUCUACCUGCAAAUAUUGUUUCAACCACAUGUUUUCUGCCCUACAUCUUUUCACAAAUUGUUCUAAUUUCUUAGAAUGCCUUUUAUCUCUCCCCUCUGUAUCACCACUGGUGAAAAUCCUUACCAUUUAAAAAAAAUAAAAAUGAAUUGCUAAUUUAUCUGUGAAGUCUUUACCAGUAUUUCUUAUCAAGAUGCUUUCUUUUUCUGUUCCUUCACACUAUUUUGAUUUUCUUUACAUUGUAACAGUUUACAUUAUCUGCCCCACAGUUUCUUCUUGUUCAUCUUUGACAGACAUCACUUUUUAUUCAUCGUUGUAUCUACAUUCCUUACCAAAUGCCUAACAUACAAUGUAGUCAUCCAACUGAAUAAAUGCUGAGUACAUUGAUGUGCAAAAUCAUAAUAAUAUUUUACAUUCAAAAUGAGUUAGCUGAGUUGAAAUUUUUUUAGCAACACAGAUGGAUUACAGUCAGGUUGAAUAAGGUUUAUAACACCAUGAGAAGAAUUAACCAUUUU
rnacentral:lncRNA from 1 species